CCUACGGGUGGCAGCAGUGAGGAAUAUUGGUCAAUGGCCGGAAGGCUGAACCAGCCAUGCCGCGUGAAGGUCAGUGCCCUAUGGGCGUUAAACUUCUUUUGUGCGGGGGCAAUAAUGGUCACGUGUGGCCAGACGAGAGUACCGUACGAAUAAGCAUCGGCUAACUCCGUGCCAGCGGCCGCGGUAAUACGGGGGAGGCAAGCGUUAUCCGGAGUUAUUGGGUUUAAAGGGUGCGUAGGCUGGGAGGUAAGUCAGCGGUGAAAUGCCCCCGCGCAACGGGGUGUAGAGCCGUUGAUACUGGCGUGCUGGAAUGCGGAUGCAGUGGGAGGAAUGUGUGGUGUAGCGGUGAAAUGCAUAGAUAUCACACAGAACACCGAUUGCGAAGGCAGCUCACGAACGCUCGAUUGACGCUGAGGCACGAAAGUGUGGGUAUCGAACAGGAUUAGAUACCCGGGUAGUC
rnacentral:rRNA from 1 species